rfam:Thecamonas trahens ATCC 50062 unplaced genomic scaffold supercont1.32, whole genome shotgun sequence.
CCUUCCUUGGUCUAAUGGAUAUGACGUCAGCUUUCGGCGCUGAAGGUUAGGGUUUCGAAUACCCUAGGAAGGC